UACGGGGGGGGGCAAGCGUUGUUCGGAAUUACUGGGCGUAAAGGGCUCGUAGGUGGCCAACUAAGUCAGACGUGAAAUCCCUCGGCUUAACCGGGGAACUGCGUCUGAUACUGGAUGGCUUGAGUUUGGGAGAGGGACGCGGAAUUCCAGGUGUAGCGGUGAAAUGCGUAGAUAUCUGGAGGAACACCGGUGGCGAAGGCGGCAUCCUGGACCAAUACUGACGCUGAGGAGCGAAAGCCAGGGGAGCAAAGCGGG
rnacentral:rRNA from 1 species